rnacentral:misc_RNA from 1 species
GAUGAAGAACGUAGCGAAAUGCGAUAAGUAAUGUGAAUUGCAGAAUUCAGUGAAUCAUCGAAUCUUUGAACGCACAUUGCGCCCCCUGGUAUUCCGGGGGGCAUGCCUGUCCGAGCGUCAUUACAACCCUCAAGCUCCGCUUGGUGUUGGGCGUCUGUCCCGCUUCGCGCGCGGACUCGCCCCAAAGGUAUUGGCAGCGGUCGUGCCAGCUUCUCGCGCAGCACAUUGCGCUUCUCGAGGCACCGGUGGGCCCGCGUCCAUCAAGCUCACCCCCCCAGUUUGACCUCGGAUCAGGUAGGGAUACCCGCUGAACUUAAGCAUAUCAAUAAGCGGAGGA